AGGACGAACGCUGGCGGCGUGCUUAACACAUGCAAGUCGAGCGGAAAGGCCCUUCGGGGUACUCGAGCGGCGAACGGGUGAGUAACACGUGAGUAAUCUGCCCCUAGCUCUGGGAUAGCUCCGGGAAACCGGGAUUAAUACUGGAUACGACCACCUUAGACAUCUUUUGUGGUGGAAAGAAUUUCGGCUAGGGAUGAGCUCGCGGCCUAUCAGCUUGUUGGUGGGGUAACGGCCUACCAAGGCGACGACGGGUAGCCGGCCUGAGAGGGCGACCGGCCACACUGGGACUGAGACACGGCCCAGACUCCUACGGGAGGCAGCAGUGGGGAAUAUUGCGCAAUGGGCGAAAGCCUGACGCAGCAACGCCGCGUGAGUGAUGAAGGCCUUCGGGUCGUAAAGCUCUGUCGGAGGGAACGAAUGCUCCUGAGGUUAACAGCCUCGGGAAGUGACGGUACCCUCAAAGGAAGCACCGGCUAACUCUGCGCCAGCAGCCGCGGU
rnacentral:rRNA from 1 species